rnacentral:lncRNA from 1 species
UUUUAUCUCCUCUUCAAGAAAUAAUUUCUCAAAAAACACUCUCAACUCUCUCCCCUUUCCUGGGCACUGCCCAGAAGCCGGCCAACGCCGCCGCCGUACGGUGGCUGUAAAAAUAAAAAGGUGAGGUUUUUUUAAUUUUUUUUGUACAUUUGUAUAUGUUUGUGUAUGCUGUUUUUUUUAAAAAAAAUAAUAAAAAAAGGGAAAUGUAGGUAUAUAUAUAUGUUUCGAAAGAGGAAAUUAAAGAAGAACUCAAAAACAAAGUAAAACAAAAGUAAAUAAAUAAAAAAGAACACGAGAAGCAAAAUAAUAGAAAAAAACAGAAUCACCUUUGAAGUAAAUUUUUGUUUUCUUUUUUUGUUGAACCUUUUUUUUGGGGCUUUUUCGGUUCAACAAUUGUACAUUUUUUUAUGAUUUUAAACACUGUCAUUUCUCUUAUUUUUUCUUUGCUGUUGUUGCUGCUUUCUUUGCUUGUUUGCAGGUGAGCAGUUGGGCGGUGGCAGAGAGCAGGUGGCAGCAGCAAGUGGUGCUAGGGUUUCAGUCUAGUUUGACUGCUAGGGUUAAUGUGGUUUUGGGCCUAUCGGGCUCCGAGUUAAGUUUAGUCUGUUGGGCUAGGGGGUUUUGGGCCGUUUGGGCCGGGGCAAAAUUGUGUUGUACAGAAAUGAUAAAAUCCAAGGUUUAACUACUAUGAUGUUAGUUCAAAUGUUGUUAUGCAUCAGUUUUUUAUAUAAAACAUAAACAGUUAAAAAUAUGUUUGUAAUAAUAUAUAUUUUAUUAUUAUAUUUUUAUAAGUGUAAUGUAUUUUUAAAAAAUAUGUUAAUAAAAAAAUUUAUGAGAUUUAAAUUUAAAACUUUAAA